rnacentral:rRNA from 1 species
UACGUAGGGAGCGAGCGUUGUCCGGAUUCACUGGGUGUAAAGGGUGCGCAGGCGGAUUGGCAAGUCAGAGGUGAAAUCUCACGGCUCAACCGUGAAACUGCCUUUGAUACUGCUAAUCUUGAGUUAGGGAGAGGUUGAUGGAAUUCUAGGUGUAGCGGUGAAAUGCGUAGAUAUCUAGAAGAACACCAGUGGCGAAGGCGGUCAACUGGCCCUAAACUGACGCUCAGGCACGAAAGCGUGGGGAUCAAACAGG